GCCGGAUUAGCACAGUGGUAGUGCAGUCGAUUUGUAAUCGAAAGGUCGCGAGUUCGAAUCUUGCAUCCGGCACCA
rnacentral:tRNA from 1 species